GACGAACGCUGGCGGCGUGCUUAACACAUGCAAGUCGAACGGAAAGGCCCUGCUUUUGUGGGGUGCUCGAGUGGCGAACGGGUGAGUAACACGUGAGUAACCUGCACUUGACUUUGGGAUAACUUCAGGAAACUGGGGCUCAUACCGGAUAGGAGCUCCUGCUGCAUGGUGGGGGUUGGAAAGUUUCGGCGGUUGGGGAUGGACUCGCGGCUUAUCAGCUUGUUGGUGGGGUAGUGGCUUACCAAGGCUUUGACGGGUAGCCGGCCUGAGAGGGGGACCGGCCACAUUGGGACUGAGAUACGGCCCAGACUCCUACGGGAGGCAGCGGUGGGGAAUAGUGCACAAUGGGCGGAAGCCUGAUGCAGCAACGCCGCGUGCGGGAUGACGGCCUUCGGGUUGUAAACCGCUUUCGCCUGUGACGAAGCGUGAGUGACGGUAAUGGGUAAAGAAGCACCGGCUAACUACGUG
rnacentral:rRNA from 1 species